UUUAUUUUCAUUAUUUUUAUUUUCUGAAAACCAUUUGUAAUUUAAAAUUAAAUAAAAAGUUGUAAUCACUAAAUUAGGCAACGAGAGAGUACCUGUGCUUGAAAUAAGCUCAAGAAAACAGAAAUAAAUAAGACGAAAAAUUAAAUGUAUCUAGGAGAGUGGAAUGCAAUUACUAAUGAAAUUACUCACCCAAAUUGAAACCAAGAGUACUAAUGAGAGCACAGUUG
rnacentral:misc_RNA from 1 species